rnacentral:lncRNA from 1 species
AUUUAGUUCAAAUGUUAAGUAACAAUCACACUUGUUUUAUCGUUUUAAGCAGAAGCUAUGUUGAUGUAAUUUCUAGAUCUAUUAGCUAAUAAAAAGGUAUUCAAGCAUAUUCUGUAACUUUAAUGAUACAUGGUGUAGAGUAGUAAGUACAAUUUCGACAUUUGUCCCAGAUACAGGAGUAUUUUAAUAACAAGUCUUAGAGAAAUGUGUUGGUAAAGAUGCACAAAGUGAUAUAUGUUAUAUACUAAUUGAUAGCUUACUUAGUCAUUGGUUUUCUGUUCAGAUACAUUAUAUACUGCAAGUGAGACAGCUUCCAUGAUAAUGUAUACUUGAAUUAGCCAUUUUGAAUGUUGACAGUGGAUAUGUAAAAGGCACGCGUAUGCUAUCAGGGCUAGUAAGUGUGCAAAAAGUCUGCUUUCUGCAUUAGUCUUUGGUCGGGUUAGAUGAAAUUCAUCUGAAGACAUUUUCAAAAAAUGUCAGUGCUUUUUGGGAAGUAGUAGAUGGACAAGGGAUGGGCACAGAGGGAUUUAAAAUGUGUGUCAUGACAAAAAAGUGCACAGUUUAGUUACAUAAUUAAUAUUACUGUAUUUUUAUUGUAUUGCAUUUACUAUGAGAGGCAGAGCUUGAUAUUCGUUUGGUGAAGUGACUGAGCAAGAAAGGAAACCAUUUUGGUCUCAAAGAUUGCUGGGUAGGUUCUCUAAUUCCUCUACUUUCUGGUCCAAUUAAAUUUGUUUCUAUAUGUUGAGAAUGAUAUUUUUUCACACAGCUCUUGUAUAAGAAAUCUAAUACCCUCACUCUUUUGUUGGCAGGCCACGAAAGGAGUAGGAGGCUCCUUCCACAAUCAUGGUUGAACCUCUGUGUCUAGGUGCCACAGGUUCAAAAGGGAGGAAUCCAAAAGCGGAUGUAGAAGGUCUCUGAGGUUGGCAUCCCUCUAACAAAGUAAUAAUUCUCUGCUGACACAAAAAGGCAUCAUCAUUAUUCCACCAUUUAAAACACAGACUGGGGAGUGGAUAUACAUUAGGAUUAUGUUCUGCAAUUCCGCUUCUUCCUGAUAAUCUUAUUGUGUUUAAGGUUAUGAAGGUUGACUCUAAGGUAGAGGGCAUUAAAAGAUGUGUAGUAUAUCUAAAAUGUUUGAUCAGUUUAUCUAUUUCUUGUUGUUAUCAGGGGUGGAUCCAGAGCCCAAACCCAGGUGUAGCACUACUGUAUUUUGUGGCAAUUCUUAAUGAUGGACACAUAUAUCCACACAAAGCACAGGUGUACACAUUUCCAAUUAUGCCUACCGUGACAAAUGCCUACACACAUUUAGGUGUGCAACUUCUGCUUUGACAGGGGCAUUGGUUUCCUAAUUCCUUCCUCAGAAAUGAAUUAAAUGUCUCCUUUCCUGUGUAUGUAGACUUAACAAGCGGUGGUGCAUGUGAUUUUUUUUUAACAACUUGGAUGCAUGUAUUUGGGUACAGAACAGAGGUGACCUCUCAGUUAGCCCCUGAUGCAAGCUAAACAUAAAUUCCUUAGGCUUCCCAGGGGAAGUAUUUGCCCUGGCGCUCCCUCUUGAAUUCACCAAUGUCAUUAGCCACUAUCAUCAGGUUUGCCAAGAAUGAUACAACUGAGUAACAAUUGCAAGAAACAUGGUUGUUUGCCUUGGAUUUUGAUGAUUGCCAGUUUUAUUUCAUUCUGUUUGUUCAAGCACAAAUUAAAUGACUAACGAGGAGCUCACCCACUCAUCCAAAAGCAGUAAACCUGCUGAUGUGUGAAGACUCUGUGCUCUUAUGCCAAAGAUAGUCUGUGCUCCUAUCCAAAGUAGGUAUGGCAAUUAAACAAUGCAUCACCUCCCGAGAGAACAUUUUAGGCAUGGUUUGGUGUACGUUUUUACAAAAAAAGGUUGUAUAUAAAGCUCAGGACCUGUAUUUCAGAAGGAAUGUUGAUGUCUUUGUUACUCUUAUCAAAUUUGUGGGCUUUAAUCUGGUUCCUUAAAAGGAAUCAAGACAAGUUCUACAUGGUUUAUCACUUUCCAUGUCCACAUGGAUUUCAGGGAAUGAUUUUAUAGUUCUUGAUUUUUGUAGAGUACCCUUUGGCUCUAUGGUUCGUUUUGAGGAAGGGCCCCACUUAACAUAUGAAUGAAAGAAAUGUGACUCUCAUUCCUAUAGGAGUUCCUUGAGAAUACAGUUUAGGCUACCAGUUACAAAGACCAUUAUCAGCAUGUGCAAGCAGUUUGGACAGGAUUGAACAAUAUAGUGACCUAAAAAAGGUGUCAAGGUCAGAGAUAUAGGACAGAGAAUAGUCAGAUACAGGCCUUGUAGAGUCAGGUGGAUAUAUGAGUGUAACAAAGCCAAGGUUCAGGGAUGUCAGAAUACAGUAUAAAGAAUUAAACAAAGCCAAGUCACCUACCAGAAAUACCAAGGGUAUAAGAACGUGCUCUUGGGCUACAGACACAGGCCAUGGAAGAGAACGGUUUAAAUAGGAAUAUGUGUGUGGUGAUAAGUUAGGGACCGCAGUGGAGGUAAGUACCGCCUGGGUUAAAAAAGUAUUUUACUUACCUUUUCUACCUUGCAGCGCUGGCAUCCUCACUGAAGCUCCACAUCUUUGGCUGAGAUCAUUGAGAUUAAUGCGUUGCCAAUCAGGUGGUCAUUCUAAGACCAUCUGGUUGGCAACCAAUUGGCAACCACUCUGCUAUUUUACAGAAGCACCUCUUGUGGAUGUCAUGUUAACAGCUACUAGAGGCAGGUUAACCCUGCAAAGAAGCCAUUGACGUUCCUUCAGAAUGGCAAUGUUAUAGAGUUAAAGCUGGGGGCACAUGGUACUCAGACCACUCCAUUGAGAUAGGGCACACUUAAUAGGGCACACAUGGGGUGGGUCACAGCACAGAACAUGGCUGUGCAAUACAAAAAAAACAAACAAACCCAGCUUCCCCCACACACAGAUAAUAGCCCUAAAACCCUUUGGUAUUCAAAUGUGCACAGGGAUUAGGGAUAACGCACAGGUAACUUUUUGGGUUUUGUUUACAUAUUUUGAAUACUAUAGCUAUUGCUGUUGUCCAAGAGUAGUGGGAGUUUAAGUGCAGGGCAUAUUUCUGUGUGCUUUAAAGUACUUUUUAAAAACCAUAUGUAGUUUUAAAAACAAAAUACAGUUACAUAUUUAAAUUUGGAUUGAUGUCUUACUAACCCAAUGUACCGUUUGGCAGAAUAUGCUGGUUCUAUAUGAUGAAUAAUAAUAUUAUUAUUAAUAAUAAUAAUAAUAAUAAUAAUAAUAGAUGUUAUUGCUUCACCACAGGUGGGUUCAUUCCAAUUACCAUUUAACUAAUUAAAUUAUCAGUAUGAAAUGCUAUCUGUUUGCAGGAAUGCCCCUAAACCCUGUAAACUGGAGGUUGGGCAACUAAUGUAUUGAAGAAUAAAUAGCCUUUUGGAACAUAUAAAUAUAUUUUUAAGCAAACUUUCCAUGGCAGAAAUAUUUUAUGAAAAUGAUUUCAAUUGUUACUAUAUUUUUUCUUUUAAUUAUAUUUCAAGUUAUUCUUCUUCUUUUGAAUUUACUGAGAAAAUAUAAAAGAAAGCACGAGCAUAAUUAAAUCAUUAAUAUGCAAUUAAUUUUUGUUGCAACAGUAGAUAGUUAACAAGACCCUAUUUUAUAUCAGGAUUAAAACUCGAUCUGACAGUUUUCUGCUGGUAAAUCCCCGUGGAGUCAGAAUUACAGGUAAAAAAAAUAAAAUGCUCAGUUUGCUUUUCUCUGUUGGCUGAGUAAUCCUUCAGUAUGAAAUACAAUGCACUAUGGAAAAAAUAUCAUUAGGAGCUUGUGUUUAACCCCUGGUAUCUUUCCUAUGGAGAUACGUGUUUGACUAGAAACAUAUUUAAAGCAAAAUAAUAUUGUGAAGUGGAGCGGUCUUUAACUGCAAUACACCCCUAUCUCACAUGCAGCACAAUUAGCAGGUUAAAAAUAUACUUAUACUUCUUGCUGAAUGGUAUCUCGAUUGAUGUGCAGCGUAUAAAAGAAAAAGCAAAAGUGAUCAUAGAACAGAUCUGUUGCAUUAACUUGCACUUCUAUGGAUAGUGCUAAAAGUCACAUAUACUUUGUUAAAUCAGCUGAAUAUUAACAAGUUUAUUACAAAUAUAAAACAGAUAUAAAAAUUAAAAAGCAAGUUAUAAUAACAAUUAAAAUACAAAUACAGGACAAGUCACUGUUUAGUUAACAUGUCACAAACAGCUCAUUGCUCAUUGCAUAAUCUGUAUACUACAAAACAAAUGUGAAACAAAAAUAAAGCAUAUCACUAAGAAUGGCUACAGAGCAGAUAGCUGCUUACUAGAAUUGUUGGUGAGUACAACGGUAUGUGUGUACGUUUACUCACAGCCAGGCUUUCCCACACUGGGAGAUGUCUCCUGUAUUAAGAAGUUGAGGGAGGUCAGAUAGAGUUCCUCUUUAUUGCUGUUCGGGUGCCAUCCAGUUCAGCAUAUAACACAGCUGUACCGCUCAAGGGUGCGGAGCCUAUCCAGAAGCCAGGCGUUCUGAAAGCGGUACAGCUGAGCUAUAUGCUGAACUUGAUGGAUGGCGUAGUGGAUGGUUGGUGGAAAGCCACCCUGUUCCAACAAGGCUGCGACGUCAGCAAGGCGGAGGUGGAGUCAUGUUUUGGGCCGGAAUCAUAGGAAGAGAGCUGGUCGGCCCCCUUAGGGUCCCCAAAGGUGUUAAGAUGACCUUUACAAAGUAUGUGGAGUUUCUGACUGACCACUUUCUUCCCUGGUACAGAAGGAAGAACUAUGCUUUCCGUAAUAAAAUCCUCUUCAUGCAUGACAAUGCACCAUCUCAUGCUCCAAAGAAUACCUCUGCAUCAAUGGCUGCUAUGGGGAUAAAAGGAGAGAAAGUCGUGAUGUGGCCUCCAUCCUCCCCUGACCUCAAUCCUAGUGAGAACCUUUGAAACAUCCUCAAGCAAAAUAUCUAUGAGAGUGGGAGGCAGUUUACAUCCAAACAGCAGCUCUGGGGGGCUAUUCUGACAUCUUGCAAACAAAUUCAAGCAGAAACUGUCCAAAAACUCACAAGUUCAAUGGAUGCAAGACUUGUGAAGCUGCUAUCAUAUAACGG